GAGGAAUAUUGGUCAAUGGACGAGAGUCUGAACCAGCCAAAUCGCGUGAAGGAAGACUGCCCUACGGGUUGUAAACUUCUUUUGUACAGGAAUAAAAGACAUUACGUGUAAUGUAUUGCAUGUACUGUACGAAUAAGCAUCCGCUAACUCCGUGCCAGCAGCCGCGGUAAUACGGAGGAUGCGAGCGUUAUCCGGAUUUAUUGGGUUUAAAGGGUGCGCAGGCGGGAUUUUAAGUCAGCGGUGAAAUUUUCCGGCUCAACCUGAACACUGCCGUUGAAACUGGGAUCCUUGAGUAUGGAUGAAGUAGGCGGAAUUCGUUGUGUAGCGGUGACAUGCUUAGAUAUAACGAGGAACUCCGAUUGCGUAGGCAGCUUACUAAGCCAUAACUGACGCUCAAGCACGAAAGCGUGGGGAUCAAACA
rnacentral:rRNA from 1 species